CGGCCGGGCCGUGCCUGAGCCCAAAGUGCCGAUGCUCCGGCACGGCGGUGGCCGGAGCUGUGCUUGCAGGUAGAGCCGCCCAGGCUGCCGUGGCGUGACGCGGGUUCUCGCAAACAAAAAUGGUUUUUAACCGUGUGAUGGAGGCGGGUGAAUGCAGAAGGAGGCUGCCAUUCUAGAAUUGCAGGAAAAGUGAAUUUAUGGAAUAAAAAUCUUUACAUCUGUCCAAGGAAGCAGAAUUGGGUCUCUUUGAAGGUGCCAAGUUGUACAUAAUAUGACAAUGAUACUGGUAUAUAAAGCAGUCCCCACCAUGCAAUUAUAGAAACAAUAGUAGAAUUAGAAAUAAUUAGAAUUUUAUAGAAAUAAUGGAGAAUAACUACAGAGAGUCAGCACUUGUAAGGUUGAUGGUUAUUCUCUGGUUUGGGAGUAGUGGUAGCUCAAAUUACUGUCUGUUCUAGGGAGCACGUUUAGGAAAUGUAGUCAGAGUAGUAAACAUACUGUGUUUUAGCAGAUUUGCAGUUUUAGGAUUAACCUGGCUGGCAUUUUGUUCUUGUCAUUGUGAAUGCUCAGGAGUUUGAGCUCAGUUUCAGCCUUGCAGGAAUGAUAGAAAGUAAGUGGGCAUAUCAUCUAAAUGCAGAAGAAUUUUUUAAUUAGUCAUUCAUAUCAACAAUUUUUUCCUCAGUUGAUAUUUACAGGAAGGCACAAAUUUGCUUAAACCUUUAAAUUUAUUGUUCAUCAUGUAUUACAUGAAGAGAGCCUAAGGAUGUUUUCUUAUCCAAUAACUAAGCAAUCUUGCAGUUCUUUUUAAUCUAAUUUGUUUCAAUGUUUUUUCUUUUUUUUGGUUUUUUAUAACUGUUGAUCAAUGACAGUUUGGCUGUCAUCUGUUUAUUAUUGUAAAAAUCACAACUUGAAAAGACAACUCCCUUCUCAAAGAAAAGAACAGGGUUUUUUUGUGCUAAACAAAUGCUGUGCAUUGUCUCUUUAGUAUUCUGCAUGUUUAGAAUUAAAAUGGGCUUUGGGAAACACUUAGCACUUGCAGAACAUCUGCAAUUUUGAAGACAUGUUUAUGAGGGAUAGAGGAAAGUGCAGAAUGAUACUUGCUCUAAGUUUAUGAGUUGAGGCAUCCAUCUGUAACCAGAGAAACUGUAGUCCAUGGAUAUCAGUCUAGUUAUGGAUGUCAGAUGUUUACAUAUAUGGGAUGUUGAAAUCAUGUGCUGUAUUUAAGAAAAUUACUUCAGCUUUUUUCUUAAGACAUGUAUAUGUGUGAGAAUUCCACUGGCAGUGCAUAUUGUUUUUAUGAUAGUAUGAUACCUACUGUAUCAUGUAUUUUGAGUACAAAUUGCAGCCAUUCCAAUACAGUGAGAAGACUGAAAAAGAAAAGUGGGGGUAGUUAUUUCUGUGGGCUAGAGGAGUCAAAGUCACAGACCAGUGCUCUGUGGCUUUUGGUAGGAAGCUUUCAGGCAAGGCUUGGCCUGUGCAGGAUUUGCUGGCUUGCUGCAUGUGCCUUGAGGGAACAAUCCCCCUCCCUAGGAGGAUGAAGUGGGAGAUGAGACUCCCCUGUGCCCCUGAAGGAUCAGAGACUUGACCCUGCUGUCCCAGGGAGAUGUUGCUGGUCUGCACCCAGGACCUGUCACUUAAAGCCAUUGAGUGUUUCUGGCUCAGGUCACAUGAGCUGUGUGGGGUUUCUUCAGGGUUGGUACUUGCUUACCUACUGUGAAAGCUGAAGCCUCCUAUCCAGGAGGGUUUGUGAUAUGCUGAGGUAUCUAUGGAAACAGGUUGGUUGUGCUGAGCUUUAGAAUCUGGGAAUAGGUUUAGAAAAAAGCCUAAAUUAAUGUAUGUACCUUUUUUACUCCCAGCUGCACCUGUGUCUGUCUGUGUACUUUGUUUCUGAUGUUGAUUCUUCAGAACUGGACUUCACAUCUCUCAGCUUGGAAACUAAAAGUAUUUGUGCAUACUGUCAAAACUAAAUAAAUACAAGAUGAAACUUACA